rnacentral:rRNA from 1 species
UGAGGAAUAUUGGACAAUGGAUGGAAAUCUGAUCCAGCCAUGCCGCGUGCAGGAAGACGGCCCUAUGGGUUGUAAACUGCUUUUGUAUGGGAGCAAUAAGGACUACGUGUAGUUUGAUGAGAGUACCAUACGAAUAAGCAUCGGCUAACUCCGUGCCAGCAGCCGCGGUAAUACGGAGGAUGCGAGCGUUAUCCGGAUUUAUUGGGUUUAAAGGGUGCGUAGGCGGAAAGAUAAGUCAGCCUGUGAAAGUUUGCGGCUCAACCGUAAAAUUGCAGUUGAUACUGUUUUUCUUGAGUGUACAUAAGGUAGGCGGAAUUCGUGGUGUAGCGGUGAAAUGCUUAGAUAUCACGAAGAACUCCGAUUGCGAAGGCAGCUUACCGGGGUACAACUGACGCUGAUGCACGAAAGUGUGGGUAUCAAACA